UACGGAGGGUGCAAGCGUUAUCCGGAUUCACUGGGUUUAAAGGGUGCGUAGGUGGGCUGGUAAGUCAGUGGUGAAAUCUCCGGGCUUAACUCGGAAACUGCCGUUGAUACUAUCAGUCUUGAAUGUUGUGGAGGUAAGCGGAAUAUGUCAUGUAGCGGUGAAAUGCUUAGAUAUGACAUAGAACACCGAUAGCGAAGGCAGCUUGCUACACAAUAAUUGACACUGAGGCACGAAAGCGUGGGGAUCAAACAGG
rnacentral:rRNA from 1 species